rnacentral:rRNA from 1 species
GUAGUUUGAUCCUGGCUCAGGAUGAACGCUAGCGACAGGCCUAACACAUGCAAGUCGAGGGGCAGCACAUGAGUAGCAAUACGAUGGUGGCGACCGGCGCACGGGUGAGUAACACGUAUGCAACCUACCUGUAAGAGGGGAAUAACCCGGAGAAAUUCGGACUAACACCGCAUAAUACCGAUUAACUGCAUGGUUGAUCGGUUAAAUAUUUAUAGCUUACAGAUGGGCAUGCGUAACAUUAGAUAGUUAGUGAGGUAACGGCUCACCAAGUCAACGAUGUUUAGGGGUUCUGAGAGGAAGGUCCCCCACACUGGUACUGAGACACGGACCAGACUCCUACGGGAGGCAGCAGUGAGGAAUAUUGGUCAAUGGGCGAGAGCCUGAACCAGCCAAGUCGCGUGAAGGAAGAAGGUUCUAUGGAUUGUAAACUUCUUUGUAAGGGAAUAAAAAGAGUUACGUGUAACUUAUUGUAUGUACUUUACGAAUAAGGAUCGGCUAACUCCGUG